rnacentral:rRNA from 1 species
GAUGAACGCUGCCGCCUGCCCUAUCCCAUGCAAGUCGACCGACAGAACAGGAAGUUUCUCCUCUUACGUUUGGCGCGGACCGGGGGGGUAACAGGUGAAUAACCAACUUUUAAGCCGGGGUUAAUUCCGGAAACCCGGACCUAUUCCGGAAAAAUAUUUUAAACGGCUGGUUUCAUAAGUAAAGAAGGUUUUUCUGGUCAUUAUUAAAUGAUUCCGGGCCGCAUUAGCUAGUUGGUAAGGUAACGGCUUACCAAGGCGACGAUGCGUAGCCGACCUGAGAGGGUGAUCGGCCACACUGGAACUGAGACACGGUCCAGACUCCUACGGGAGGCAGCAGUAGGGAAUCUUCCGCAAUGGGCGAAAGCCUGACGGAGCAACGCCGCGUGAGUGAUGAAGGUCUUCGGAUCGUAAAACUCUGUUAUUAGGGAAGAACAAAUGUGUAAGUAACUAUGCACGUCUUGACGGUACCUAAUCAGAAAGCCACGGCUAACUACGUG